rnacentral:tRNA from 1 species
GCCUGGGUGGCUCAGUCGGUUGAGCGUCCGACUUCGGCUCAGGUGGUGAUCUCACAGUUCGUGGGUUCAAGCCCCGCGUUGGGCU